rnacentral:tRNA from 2 species
UCCUCCAUAGCUCAAUUGGCAGAGCAUGCGACUGUUAAUCGCAGGGUUGCUGGUUCGAGUCCAGCUGGAGGAGCCA